rnacentral:rRNA from 1 species
UACGUAGGGGGCUAGCGUUGUCCGGAUUUAUUGGGCGUAAAGAGCGUGUAGGCGGCCAGGUAGGUCCGUUGUGAAAACUCGAGGCUCAACCUCGAGACGUCGGCGGAAACCAUCUGGCUAGAGUCCGGAAGAGGAGAGUGGAAUUCCUGGUGUAGCGGUGAAAUGCGCAGAUAUCAGGAAGAACACCCGUGGCGAAGGCGGCUCUCUGGGCAUUAACUGACGCUGAGGAGCGAAAGCAUGGGGAGCGAACAGG